GCCCAGGUGGAGAAAUUGGUAAACUUACCGCCUUGAGGUGGCGGCGCCCGCAAGGGCUUGAGGGUUCGAGUCCCUCCCUGGGCA
rfam:Parcubacteria (Magasanikbacteria) bacterium GW2011_GWC2_45_8 TX20_C0029, whole genome shotgun sequence.